rnacentral:misc_RNA from 1 species
AGUACUAGAGCUACUCACCCAAGAGGAAGGAACAAAAUCAAAACCUGACUGGAUUGCAUGUGGCUUAUGAUCACAUUGAGGUGCUUCAUAAUUUCCAUUUUCUGGGUCAAAUUCGACGGUGGAGCCUGCAUCUGGCUCAUGCCAGAUGUCUUUGAUCACCUCACCUGAGUUCAUAUCCAUAGAACUAAAGUUUUCACUAUUCCGGUCAAUUGUAUCUUCAGAAGAUGGACUCAACCCAAGACCUGGGAUGUAAUGAUUUAAGUGGGGCGCAAUCAUACCAUGAGGAAAUUGCAUAUUGGAAGAUGCAGGAUCAAUCACAGGAAAAUUAGCUGAAACUAAUCCCGGAAAAUUUCGUUGAUU